rnacentral:antisense_RNA from 1 species
AAAGCAGAAUGAGUACCUAGAAAAGAAUAAGGUGCCAUUUAUUCACUCAUUCAUUCUCUCUCUCUCUCCCUCCCUCCUCCCUUUUUCUUUUUGUGUGCAAGUGCACACACACACACCCACAAACAACUGCAUACACACACAGAUGUUGAUUACAUGCCAGGUACUGUGAUAACUGCUCUAAAUAUAGUAUCUCAUUUAAUUCUCAAAUGUUACAGAUUUUUAUGCUCUGAACCCAAAGUGUGUCUUACAAUCAAUAGUAUGCACGCCUUAUGUCAUAAUCUAAUUAGAAGCAUUUUUCUUUCAUAGUAACUCAAAAUCAUGGUGCACCUUGCAAGCAAAAGUGUGACAGAUUGGAAGGAAUACAGCAUUCUCUCCACAUCACAGAGGAAGAAACACCUAAAGAGUUCUAGAGCAAGGAAACUGACUCAAGGGAGACACUGUGCAGUAGGAGAGAAAUAUGAGAACCCCAAUCUCAGGAUUCAAGGUCUGGGGAUCACUGAAGGAAAGGCUCUGUGAACUCCUGUUCGUUUCUUCCCUGCACAGCUGCAAGAUC